rnacentral:rRNA from 1 species
ACGGGUGAGUAAUGUCUGGGAAACUGCCUGAUGGAGGGGGAUGACUACUGGAAACGGUAGCUAAUACCGCAUAAUGUCGCAAGACCAAAGAGGGGGACCUUCGGGCCUCUUGCCAUCGGAUGUGCCCAGAUGGGAUUAGCUUGUUGGUGGGGUAACGGGCUCACCAAGGCGACGAUCCCUAGCUGGUCUGAGAGGAUGACCAGCCACACUGGAACUGAGACACGGUCCAGACUCCUACGGGAGGCAGCAUG